GACGGUGACGAUAGCCUGGGGAAACACCCGUUCCCAUACCGAACACGGAAGUAAAGGCCCAAGGCGCUGAUGGUACUGCAGGGGCGACCCUGUGGGAGAGUAGGUUAUCGCCGUCC
rnacentral:rRNA from 1 species